AUUGAACGCUGGCGGCAGGCUUAACACAUGCAAGUCGAGCGGUAACAUUUCUAGCUUGCUAGAAGAUGACGAGCGGCGGACGGGUGAGUAAUACUUAGGAAUCUACCUAGUAGUGGGGGAUAGCUCGGGGAAACUCGAAUUAAUACCGCAUACGACCUAUGGGAGAAAGGGGGCAACUUGUUGCUCUCGCUAUUAGAUGAGCCUAAGUCGGAUUAGCUAGAUGGUGGGGUAAAGGCCUACCAUGGCGACGAUCUGUAGCUGGUCUGAGAGGAUGAUCAGCCACACCGGGACUGAGACACGGCCCGGACUCCUACGGGAGGCAGCAGUGGGGAAUAUUGGACAAUGGGGGAAACCCUGAUCCAGCCAUGCCGCGUGUGUGAAGAAGGCCUUUUGGUUGUAAAGCACUUUAAGCAGUGAAGAAGACUCUUCGGUUAAUACCCGGAGACGAUGACAUUAGCUGCAGAAUAAGCACCGGCUAACCCUGUGCCAGCAGCCGCGGUAAUACAGAGGGUGCAAGCGUUAAUCGGAAUUACUGGGCGUAAAGCGAGCGUAGGUGGCUUGAUAAGUCAGAUGUGAAAUCCCCGGGCUUAACCUGGGAACUGCAUCUGAUACUGUUAGGCUAGAGUAGGUGAGAGGAAGGUAGAAUUCCAGGUGUAGCGGUGAAAUGCGUAGAGAUCUGGAGGAAUACCGAUGGCGAGGGCGGGUCUCUGGGCCGUUACUGACGCUGAGGAGCGAAAGCGUGGGGAGCGAACAGG
rnacentral:rRNA from 1 species